rnacentral:rRNA from 1 species
AGCAGCCGCGGUAAUUCCAGCUCCAAUAGCGUAUAUUAAAGUUGCUGCAGUUAAAAAGCUCGUAGUUGAAUUUCGGGACCAUCAUGUCGGUCGUGCCUCGGUACGUACUGGCAUUGUUGGUUUCUCCCUUCUGACGAACCAUGAUGUCAUUUAUUUGGUGUCGUGGGAAAUCAGGACUGUUACUUUGAAAAAAUUAGAGUGUUUAAAGCAGGCUCACGCUUGAAUACAUUAGCAUGGAAUAAUGAAAUAGGACGUUUGAUUCUAUUUUGUUGGUUUCUAGGAUCGACGUAAUGAUUAAUAGGGAUAGUUGGGGGCAUUAGUAUUCAAUUGUCAGAGGUGAAAUUCUUGGAUUUAUUGAAGACUAACUACUGCGAAAGCAUUUGCCAAGGAUGUUUUCAUUAAUCAAGAACGAAAGUUAGGGGAUCGAAGACGAUCAGAUACCGUCGUAGUCUUAACCAUAAACUAUGCCGACUAGGGAUCGGAUGAUGUUAAUUUUUUAAUGACUCAUUC